rnacentral:rRNA from 1 species
GACGAACGCUGGCGGCGUGCUUAACACAUGCAAGUCGAACGGAAAGGCCCUGCUUUUGUGGGGUGCUCGAGUGGCGAACGGGUGAGUAACACGUGAGUAACCUGCCCUUGACUUUGGGAUAACUUCAGGAAACUGGGGCUAAUACCGGAUAGGAGCUCCUGCUGCAUGGUGGGGGUUGGAAAGUUUCGGCGGUUGGGGAUGGACUCGCGGCUUAUCAGCUUGUUGGUGGGGUAGUGGCUUACCAAGGCUUUGACGGGUAGCCGGCCUGAGAGGGUGACCGGCCACAUUGGGACUGAGAUACGGCCCAGACUCCUACGGGAGGCAGCAGUGGGGAAGAUUGCACAAGGGGCGGAAGCCUGAUGCAGCAACGUCGCGUGCGGGAUGAAGGCCUUCGGGUUGUAAGCCGCUUUCGCCUGUGACGAAGCGUGAGUGACGGUAAUGGGUAAAGAAGCACCGGCUAGCUACGUG